rnacentral:rRNA from 1 species
AUGAGAAUUAUAAGCUGAAACUGCCGGGGACUCGGGAACGGCCCGGCAGUUCGAGGCCUCUUGGACAUCAAGAGGGCGGAGGAUCCCGAUGUUCUCUUCUUAUGUGAGACUAAACCGCAUGAGAAAGAGAUGGAGCAAUAUAGGUGGAAGCUAGGGCUUGUUAAUAUGUGCGUUAGAAACCCGGAUGGAAGAAGUAGGGGAUUCGCGAUCCUAUGGAGGAGGGGAGUGGACCUGGCCCUAAGGUCAAUUGGGAGAAGACACAUAGAUGCUGAUAUUACGGACGAGAACGGGGUGGUGUGGAGGAUGACAGGAGUGUACGGUGAAUCGCAGGCGAGUAGGAAGAAAGAAACUUGGAGAACCUUGCACCUCCUGAACCAGCAACAUCAAGAUGGUCAGCCGUGGCUGUGCAUGGGAGAUUUUAAUGAAAUAUUAACGAAUGAGGAGAAGAGAGGGGGAGUCAAUCGCUCUCAGGGCUGUCUGGACCUAUUUCAAGAUGCUCUUGAGGUUUGCAAGCUUAGUGAUGUGGGGUAUGAGGGGAUAUGA